rfam:Zostera marina strain Finnish scaffold_57, whole genome shotgun sequence.
GAUGAGCUCGGUAACGUGGGCUUGUCACCAAGUGGAGCAUUAAGGUAUUUGAAUAAUUUGGUAUUGAAUUCCAGGUUGACAUUAUGAGCUAGCUUUGAUUUGCAUGCCCGUUUCCAAGUUGGGCAGUGUAUGCUAUGUUUCAGGCUAACGCUUGAAUAAUAUUCUCCCUAAACUUGAGGGUAAUGCGUGAGGCUGGUUUCACAGAGCAGCGAUUACCUCUCUCUCUCAACGGUGGAAGGAUUACAAGUCAUUUGCUCAUAUUGUCAAUUACCCUGUCAAUUAGCCUUGGAAUCCACAAAAUUCAACAAAUAUUUUU